CACACCGCCCGUCACACCAUGGGAGUAUGUUGCAGUUGAAACCGCCGGGAGCUUUACGGCAGGCGUCUAGACUGUGGCACAUGACUGGGGUG
rnacentral:rRNA from 1 species